UAACGGUGUGUUCACACCGAACGCGAUAGAGGCGGCCAGAGCGUCAGGUUUACAUGUAAAGUCAAUGGAAAGAGCGCGAUGACACGCGAUUGCGCGUCCAGCGAAAAUUCGGAGGCAGAUUUGGGUCGCCAAAACGCCUGAAACGCGCAUCAGUGUAGCGCGUGGGGCGCGUUUGACUCGCGAAAAAAACCACGCGGGUGAAUUUUUGUGUUGCAUUUUGUGCAUACGCGUGUUUCGCCUCUACCGCUCGAGUUGGAAAAUCUGAACUCCAGCGUCAAAUCGCGCCGCGACAACCAAUCAGGAGCCUGGUGACGUGGCUGUGACCUAGGUCAAAGGGGCAGAUCCAGCCAAAACCCUUCAUUCUUUAAUGGAGGGAAGGCUAAUCAACGCCGUAGCAAACAACCCGGAGCUGUACGACACCAGCUGCUUUGUGUACCGAGACAGGAAUAUAAAGGACCGAGCUUGGAGGAAGAAAUGUGAAGAGAUCGGGCAACCUGAACCAGCUGAUUCUGCAGCAGAGCAUCCCCUGUUGCUUCUCCUUGCUCCCCAGUCCCUGAGCUCCUGCUGCUGCACCCACAGGCCUAGAGAGGAGGACAGCUCCGAGGCAGCUGAGGGACUGGUCCCAGGACGGUCCAUCGGUGGUGGAGCUGGCCAUCCUGGUGUCCCUGAAGAGGCCACGCCAGUCUCCAAUGGCGCAUUUCCUCCUCAGCCUUGUUCCUGCUCUGGAGAGCAGCUGGGUCCUUUUUAUUCCUGUCUCUCUAGCUCCACAGCAGAGAGGGAAGUUCCAGCGCUCCUGGAAUCCCUCUGUGAUGGACCGC
ensembl:lncRNA